UUAUUUUUAAAAAGAUUUUAUUUAUUUAUUCAUGAGAGACACAGAGAGAGAAGCAGAGGGAGAAAGAAGCAGGCUCCUAGCAGGGAGCCUGAUGCAGGACUCAAUCCCAGGACCCCUGGAUCAUGACCCCUGCCAAAGGCAGAUGCUCAAUUGUUGAGCCACUCGGUGUCCCAAUAAGGAUUUAAAUGUAUCCAAUUCUGCAAAAGUAACAUCUGUUAAAAUUGUUUUUUAUUCUGUUAAAACUAUUAAAAUAUAAAGAUUUUUGAUAGAUACUGUUUUUAUUCUUAUGAGGUUUAUUGGACAGUGGUUAGUACAUUAUUUAAAAGUGAAAGUAAAUAUUAGACUAAGAAGUGCCAAAGUUUAUUACUAUCCAGUUCUACAUGAUUAACAUACGUUAAAAAACCUAGGUUAAUUCUACAUUUUCCUUCACAGAAUGACCAUAAAACAGCAAACUUACUCAUUUUCUAAGAAACAACAUCUUGACAGUUAGCUCUGUGUGUAAAGAACAUAGAGACAAAUAGCUGAUUUAAUCAUCCUAUAAUUGUGAGACCUGGCUGUUAAUUCUGAGAUUGAGAAGCAUAAAAACUGAUAGUGAACAAUAGCAUGGCUGACUCAAUCGUUUAGUAAGAAUUAUUGUAGUCAACCAGGAGCAUGAAGACUAAUAUAAGUAAGUCUCUUAGUUCACAUUCUUUGGAUGGCUUGUUCAUGGGUGC